CGAACCUGCAACCUCAUGGUUCCUAGUCGGAUUCAUUAACCACUGCGCCACCAUGGGAACUCCCUACAUCAGUGAUUUUUAACAGAGAUCAUUUAAUAUCAAGAAUUGGCUGAACCGAGUCUUGAACAGGCAAAAAAGGAACACGGAGGUAUCAGGGAGAUAGUAACGGAAGUACUACCACCUUAAGUCUGAAGGAUGCAGUGAGGUUGGGGAUAUUGAGAAUGAGAGGCACGGAAGAGGAGCACUGCCAAGCUGGCAUCCAGGCUGGAUCUGGAAGGGUGGAAAGACGGGAACCAACCUGCUGCAGAGCUGAAGGCUGUUGCUGAGGCUCGGCAAUGGGGCAGGAAGAAGACAGGAAGGAGUGAGCCGCUUCCCCUUCCCUCCUGCCUUCCAGCUCCCCUCAACCAACAGGAUGUGAAAUGAGGGUGGGUACACUCUGGAGCCUCGGCCUCAGGAGGCCUUAUACUCCCAACUGCCCCUGAUGGAAUGUUACCCUGGGCCAUCAUCUAUGGCACAAAGAACCCUUGAGAAAAGCCCACGUGGAGAGAGGCGCACAGCCCAGGCAGCCCAGCUGCCCCAGGCCACCUGCCAGCAGAGUAUGGCUGCUGCGGGAGCCUGGGUGAGUCAGCAGAACAACCAACCAACCAACCAACCAACCCAUAGAACUGUGAGAAUUAAAUGCCGGGGUUUAUUUUGCAUCAAUUGACAACUGGAACAAGACAUUAUGAAGAGAACAAUCACCGUUCCUGCAGGUCAAGUUUUGCUCCUCAGCAAAAUCUGUCCUCGUGAAUGCAUGGAGCAGCCCCAGGCAGUGGGAGCCUCGCUGAGGAGAUGGAGAAGGAGGACUGGAAGGGUCAGAGGAGAACAUGGCACCCUAGACAGAAGCAGAGGACCCAGAAGAAAGCCUGCCUUUCUUUGUGCUUUGCCUUCCAUGGGAGGAGCUGGGACUUCUUGAGAGCAUCCCAUAGAGAAAUUCCCUCGAUUUUCUCCCCACCAUCCCCUCCUUUCUGAUUUGCCGAUGUCUGAAUUUUUUUCCCUAAAGAACCCAGCCUCAGAGUUCCCUGGUGGCCU
rnacentral:lncRNA from 9 species